CAAGAAGAAGAAGAGCUCCCUUCGAACCAAUCCACGAGAGGAAGUGGUAGGAUGCAGCUGCCGGUUCAUGGAUACCCCUGGAGUGCGUGGCAAUUUUAGGCCUGCACUUUCAUGGGUUUGCAUGACUUGGGAGAUGAACCCACCAUUAUCUUCCUCUCAUGUUUGGUUUGAAGGGAGCUCUACGUCUCUACCCC
rfam:Leersia perrieri chromosome 2, whole genome shotgun sequence.